GAUGAACGCUGGCGGCGUGCCUAAUACAUGCAAGUCGAGCGAAUGGAUUAAGAGCUUGCUCUUAUGAAGUUAGCGGCGGACGGGUGAGUAACACGUGGGUAACCUGCCCAUAAGACUGGGAUAACUCCGGGAAACCGGGGCUAAUACCGGAUAAUAUUUUGAACUGCAUGGUUCAAAAUUGAAAGGCGGCUUCGGCUGUCACUUAUGGAUGGACCCGCGUCGCAUUAGCUAGUUGGUGAGGUAACGGCUCGCCAAGGCAACGAUGCGUAUCCGACCGGAGAGGGGGAUCGGCCACACUGUGACUGAGACACGGCCCAGACUCCUACGGGAGGCAGCAGUAGGGAAUCGUCCGCAAUGGACGAAAGUCUGACGGAGCAACGCCGCGUGAGUGAUGAAGGCCUUCGGGUCGUAAAACUCUGUUGUUAGGGAAGAACAAGUGCUAGUUGAAUAAGCUGGCACCUUGACGGUACCUAACCAGAAAGCCACGGCUAACUACGUGCCAGCCGCCGCAGUAA
rnacentral:rRNA from 1 species